UUUUUUUUUGGGUGCAAAACCGUAUAAAACGGCUAGGCCCUAAAAUAGGGCUGCCGUUGAAGAUACUCUAACAAGACGUCAUCUGUAAGACUUGUACAACAGAUGUAAGUUUAUUUUAUAGUGAUAAGUUUCACACACUUUUGAGAAACAAACUGUUGUUUAUCAGUUUCACGGCUAUGCAAUUGGGAGCGAUGCUCCUACAUUUGAAGAAAAAAAUUGUCUGGUACUACCACAAACUGUAAACAUAGCUGAGCUACGUACACUCAUCGGCAAGCUCCAGGAUCAUAUGCAAAAUUUUCUUAGACAUCCAUCGCUCAUGCACAAAAAUACAGUACAAAACAUGUUACAUCACGAGAAAAACCAGCCUCUUCUCGUUG
rnacentral:lncRNA from 1 species